rnacentral:pre_miRNA from 1 species
AAAAUACUCCAUCUGUCCCAAAUUACUUGUCGUAGCAAUGGAUAAAAAUGGAUGUAUCUAGAACGAAAAUACGUCUAUAUACACCCAUUUCCGCGACAAGUAAUUUUAAACAGAGGGAGUAUCGU